rnacentral:rRNA from 1 species
GACGAACGCUGGCGGCGUGCUUAACACAUGCAAGUCGAACGGAAAGGCCCUGCUUUUGUGGGGUGCUCGAGUGGCGAACGGGUGAGUAACACGUGAGUAACCUGCCCUUGACUUUGGGAUAACUUCAGGAAACUGGGGCUAAUACCGGAUAGGAGCUCCUGCUGCAUGGUGGGGGUUGGAAAGUUUCGGCGGUUGGGGAUGGACUCGCGGCUUAUCAGCUUGUUGGUGGGGUAGUGGCUUACCAAGGCUUUGACGGGUAGCCGGCCUGAGAGGGUUACCGGCCACAUUGGGACUGAGAGACGGCCCAGACUGCUACGGGAGGCAGCAGUGGGGAAUAUUGCACAAUGGGCGGAAGCCUGAUGCAGCAACGCCGCGUGCGGGAUGACGGCCUUCGGGUUGUAAACCGCUUUCGCCUGUGACGAAGCGUGAGUGACGGUAAUGGGUAAAGAAGCACCGGCUAACUACGUG